rnacentral:tRNA from 1 species
GGUUGAGGGGCUCAAAAGGUUGAGCACUUGCCUAACAAGCAUGAAGCUCUGAGUUCAAACCCCAGUUCCA